UUCUGAAGGAUAUGCUUUAGGAAAUACUAGAGAAUUGCUUAGUUUCAGUUAACUGUAGCUGAAAAGGCCGGGCGUGGUGGCUCACGCCUGUAAUCCCAGCAUUUUGGGAGGCCGAGGCGGGCAGAUCACGAGGUCAGGAGAUCACGAGGUCAGGAGAUCGAGACCAUCCUAGCUAACACGGUGAAACCCUGUCUCUACUAAAAAUACAAAACAAAAUUAGCCGGG
rnacentral:lncRNA from 1 species